rnacentral:rRNA from 1 species
AGAGUUUGAUUCUGGCUCAGGAUGAACGCUAGCGACAGGCCUAACACAUGCAAGUCGAGGGGCAUCGGGGCUAGGAGCAAUCCUUGCCGCCGGCGACCGGCGCACGGGUGAGUAACGCGUAUGCGACCUGCCCGUUGCAGGGGGAUAAUCGGGAGAAAUCCCGUCUAAUACCGCGUAAUGCCGCGGGGCUGCAUGGCCCUGCGGCCAAAGGGAGCGAUUCCGGCAACGGAUGGGCAUGCGUGACAUUAGCUAGUUGGCGGGGCAACGGCCCACCAAGGCGACGAUGUCUAGGGGUUCUGAGAGGAAGGUCCCCCACAUUGGUACUGAGACACGGACCAGACUCCUACGGGAGGCAGCAGUGAGGAAUAAUGGUCAAUGGGCGCGAGCCUGAACCAGCCAAGUCGCGUGAGGGAUGACGGCCCUACGGGUUGUAAACCUCUUUUGUCGGGGAGCAAAUUCCGUUACGUGUAACGGAGUCGAGAGUACCCGAAGAAAAAGCAUCGGCUAACUCCGUGCCAGCAGCCGCGGUAAUACGGAGGAUGCGAGCGUUAUCCGGAUUUAUUGGGUUUAAAGGGUGCGUAGGCGGACUGUCAAGUCAGCGGUAAAAUACGGGGGCUCAACCUCCGCCCGCCGUUGAAACUGACGAUCUUGAGUGGGCGAGAAGUAUGCGGAAUGCGUGGUGUAGCGGUGAAAUGCAUAGAUAUCACGCAGAACUCCGAUUGCGAAGGCAGCAUACCGGCGCCCAACUGACGCUGAAGCACGAAAGCGUGGGUAUCGAACAGGGAUUAGAUACCCUGGUAGUCCACGCAGUAAACGAUGAAUACUAGCUGUCCGGGGCGAAUGAGCCCUGGGUGGCACAGCGAAAGCGUUAAGUAUUCCACCUGGGGAGUACGCCGGCAACGGUGAAACUCAAAGGAAUUGACGGGGGCCCGCACAAGCGGAGGAACAUGUGGUUUAAUUCGAUGAUACGCGAGGAACCUUACCCGGGCUCAAACGACACAGGAACGUACCUGAAAGGGUUCGGCUCUACGGAGCCUGUGUCGAGGUGCUGCAUGGUUGUCGUCAGCUCGUGCCGUGAGGUGUCGGCUUAAGUGCCAUAACGAGCGCAACCCCCAUCGACAGUUGCUAACAGGUCAGGCUGAGGACUCUGUCGAGACUGCCGGCGCAAGCUGCGAGGAAGGCGGGGAUGACGUCAAAUCAGCACGGCCCUUACGUCCGGGGCGACACACGUGUUACAAUGGCAGGUACAGCGGGAAGCCACCUGGCGACAGGGAGCGGAACCCGAAAGCCUGUCUCAGUUCGGAUUGGAGUCUGCAACCCGACUCCAUGAAGCUGGAUUCGCUAGUAAUCGCGCAUCAGCCACGGCGCGGUGAAAACGUUCCCGGGCCUUGCACACACCGCCCGUCA